rnacentral:tRNA from 1 species
GCCUGGGUUGCUCAGUCGGUUGAGCAUCUGACUUCGGCUCAGGUUAUGAUCUCACGGUUUGUGAGUUUGAGUCCCACAUCGGGCU